GUAUAAUGACGGGGUUUUGGUGCUCGCGCCUGUAUUCACAGGCGCAGUUAAACGGGAAACACGGCGCUCUUCUCCAGGGCCAACGUGUGCUGCCCCCGCAACGGUAAGCAAGUGCCGCGUCACGCGGCAAACCGUCUUCCUCGACCACUGUGCUUUGUGCAUGGGAAGGUCUGACGGCCACACUUGCCAGCCCGGAUACCGGCCAAAAGGUGGGAAUGCGC
rnacentral:ncRNA from 2 species